AGAGUUUGAUCCUGGCUCAGGACGAACGCUGGCGGCGUGCCUAAAACAUGCAAGUCGAACGGAUAUGUCGAAAUUAAGCGAUUAAUGGAGGCAUAUUAGUGGCGGACGGGUGAGUAACACGUGAACAACCUGCCCUGCACAGGGGGAUAACAGACCGAAAGGACUGCUAAUACCCCAUGAGACCACAGUACUGCAUAGUACAGGGGUCAAAGGAGUAAUCCGGUGCAGGAGGGGUUCGCGGCCCAUUAGCUAGUUGGCGGGGUAAAAGCCCACCAAGGCGACGAUGGGUAGCCGGCCUGAGAGGGUGGACGGCCACACUGGGACUGAGACACGGCCCAGACUCCUACGGGAGGCAGCAGUGGGGAAUAUUGGGCAAUGGGCGAAAGCCUGACCCAGCGACGCCGCGUGAGGGAAGAAGGUCUUCGGAUUGUAAACCUCUGUCUAGGGGGACGAGGAAGGACGGUACCCCUGGAGGAAGCCCCGGCUAACUACGUGCCAGCAGCCGCGGUAAUACGUAGGGGGCGAGCGUUGUCCGGAAUUACUGGGCGUAAAGGGCGUGUAGGCGGUAAGCCAAGUCAGGUGUGAAACCCCCGGGCUCAACCCGGGGCAUGCAUCUGAAACUGGCAUACUUGAGUGCAGGAGAGGGAAGCGGAAUUCCUGGUGUAGCGGUGGAAUGCGUAGAUAUCAGGAAGAACACCGGUGGCGAAGGCGGCUUUCUGGCCUGUAACUGACGCUGAGGCGCGAAAGCGUGGGGAGCGAACAGGAUUAGAUACCCUGGUAGUCCACGCUGUAAACGAUGGAUACUAGGUGUAGGAGGUAUCGACCCCUUCUGUGCCGGAGUUAACACAAUAAGUAUCCCACCUGGGGAGUACGGCCGCAAGGUUGAAACUCAAAGGAAUUGACGGGGGCCCGCACAAGCAGCGGAGCAUGUGGUUUAAUUCGAAGCAACGCGUAGAACCUUACCAGGGCUUGACAUCCGCCGGACCUGCUGGAAACAGCGGGGUGCCUUUCUUCGGGAAGGAACGGCGAGACAGGUGGUGCAUGGUUGUCGUCAGCUCGUGUCGUGAGAUGUUGGGUUAA
rnacentral:rRNA from 1 species